rnacentral:rRNA from 1 species
AUUGAACGCUGGCGGCAGGCCUAACACAUGCAAGUCGAGCGAGCGGCGGACGGGGGAGUAAUGUAUGGGGACUGCCCGAUAGAGGGGGAUAACUCCUGGAAACGGUAGCUAAUACCGCAUACUAUCGGAUAACCCAUAUGGGAUUAGCUAGUAGGUGAGGUAAUGGCUCACCUAGGCGACGAUCCCUAGCUGGUCUGAGCGGAUGAUCAGCAACACUAUGAAUGAGACGCGGCGCAGACUCCUACGGAGGCAGCAGUGGGGAAGAUUGCACAAGAGGCGGAAGCAUGAUGCAGCCGUGCCGGGUGUAUGAAGAAGGCCCUAGGGUUGUAAAGUACUUUCAGUCGGGAGGCGUUACCGACAGAAGAGGCGCCGGCUAACUCCGUGCCAGCAGCCGCGGUAAUAC